GGUAGGGCGGGAGUAAACCAACUGACUUUAUUAGCGAUAUUAAUGUUAACCUUUGACUUGGUUCUAGGGGCUGUGCAUUGCACUUAAGACCGUUGUUCCUUUGUGCUAACACUGGCAAUACAUGGCAACUCUAAUAAAUCUAGAUCGGUGUCAGAAACAUGCCAUUUUUCUCUAUAUAGUGAACUACUUUUGACCAGGGAAUAGGGUGCUAUAUAGGGUUCCAUUUGGGACGACCCCUAAACCUGCAUCCCCCCCCCCCCCGUAGAUCUCAGUGCUUCGUCUCCGCAGUCAGCAGCUGGAGGAUGAGAACGGGCUGCUGUCGGAGAAGAACGCCCAGAAUGCAGCAGGAGUGGAGGGGUUGAGCCAACAGCUGGGGGAACUGCUCAGACAGAGUGAGAGACAGGAAGCUGUCAGAGACCAGCAACGUACUGUACCGGAGGAUGAGAGGAUGAAGAUGGCAGUGUGUGUGUCUGCCCUGGAGGCGGAGCUAACCAAGGCUGUGGAAGGGACUGUACUACUAAAGGAAGGCAAGGCCCAGCUGGUGCUACAACUCAAUACCCUCAGAGAUAAGGUAGCUAAGAUGGGGGCUGUAGAGUGCCGGCUCUCCUCCCUCCUGCAGGAGCGCAAGGCUUUGGAAAAACAAACCCAGGGAUUACGCAACCAGCUAGCCAAGUCUCAGGAGAGAGUAAGGAUGCUCUGUUCAGUCGGGGCAACCUUUUACACACUGCCUGGCCAAUAGUAGUGCACUGUUAUAGGGAAUAGAGGGUGCCUUUUGGGACGUACCCUCUUCAACCACUUAUGACGCAGUAAUGGUCUACUUUCAUUCAAUAUCAUCAUCAUUUAUAACGUACAGUAUAUUCGGCGUGUGUCAAGCCAAAGACACACUUCAACAUUGCAAGGACAAUUAAGUAUUUCUAAUUUAAUUACGCAAAAAAUUCACUAGUUUUAUGACUCCUGUUGAUUUGUGCGUUUAGUCAAUAUGCUUUGCAGUGUCAGACAGUAUUCAUGUAAAGUUUCCGAGAAAUCCUGGUUGGAGGAUUCCUGAAUCACAAGGGAAUAAUCAGGAAAUCUGGCCUCCUCCAACCAGGAUUUCUGGAAAAAUUGGGGGAAUUUAAAGGAAAGUUAUGGGAACUUAAAGGAAAGUUAGAGGAAUUUUGACCAAGGUGGUUUCUUUCAGAACCAGGUGUUGGAGGAAAGCCUGCAGUCUG
rnacentral:lncRNA from 13 species